GACGAACGCUGGCGGCGUGCUUAACACAUGCAAGUCGAACGGAAAGGCCCUGCUUUUGUGGGGUGCUCGAGUGGCGAACGGGUGAGUAACACGUGAGUAACCUGCCCUUGACUUUGGGAUAACUUCAGGAAACUGGGGCUAAUACCGGAUAGGAGCUCCUGCUGCAUGGUGGGGGUUGGAAAGUUUCGGCGGUUGGGGCUGGACUGGCGGCUUAUCGGCUUGUUGGUGGGGUAGUGGCUUACCAAGGCUUUGACGGGUAGCCGGCCUGAGAGGGUGACCGGCCACAUUGGGACUGAGAUACGGCCCAGACUCCUACGGGAGGCAGCAGUGGGGAAUAUUGCACAAUGGGCGGAAGCCUGAUGCAGCAACGCCGCGUGCGGGAUGACGGCCUUCGGGUUGUGAACCGCUUUGGCCUGUGACGAAGCGUGAGUGACGGUAAUGGGUAAGGAAGCACCGGCUAACUACGUG
rnacentral:rRNA from 1 species